GCGUAACUUCCUGACGUUUUGACUUUCGCCGUCUCUUUCCGGUGUUGUGACUCUGGAACGCCAUAGUGAGGGAGGUAACCCUCGAUAUGAGAGUGUGAGCACGUGAGUUGCUGAUGCGGUUAUUUUGGAGACUGGGGACUCGGCAUUUAGCCUUGAGCAACGAGCCGUGUUACACAGCGGUUUUAUUCCACUCUGUUAUAAAGUUGCUUUCCACUCUUGGAUUAUGCCAGAGAAAACUUGUAGAGGGAGAAGUAAAGGAUUGUAGCAAAUCAUAAAUUAUAGGUAAUGCCUUUUUACUUCCUUUACACCAAUCAAGACACUUAUCAAUAAUUGAGUGUGAUAUAUUAUCCAAUGAAGGUGUGUGAGCACGUAUAUAAUUCCUAAUCUGUAGAAAUCUAAAAAAAUGACUCUUGGGGAAUUUAAAUUUCUGUUGCAGCUGAUUAAAAGAUGCCAAAGCCCCCAUAGUGAAAAUAUUGAUGUGGAUUGUGUGUUUCUUUAGAGUUUACGACGCCGUGUUGCAUUUGCUUCACGGCAAGUGUUUUAUUUGUCAAUGUUUUGUAUUUUAUUUGUAUCUUAUACUAGUUGAGUUUGUUAAAGGUAUUUUUGCAUUUAUGUUUGUUUUUAUUUGACAGAUCUUUCCUUUUGGAGCUCUAUGCAUAUGGACUUCUGAUGUCUAGGCCCUGCUGUUUUGUUUAUGAUUCGAUUUUGUCAUUCAGUUUCUCAGUUUAUGGUUAUAUGUUGAUUCUGGUAUUGCAGUAAAUUUUGUUGUUUAUUUCUGUAAUUGACUUUGUUAGCUGAGUGUAUUUUAUGCCAACCGCUGAGGUUUGUUAUGUGUUAUGUAAAGGGGAGUUUUUAAAUCCAUUUCUCUGUUUUAGGAACCAGUCUGCAUGGAAGUGCUUUCCUCUGGGGUCGUCCGGGUUUUCUUCUCCUCACUGCAUGGUGGCGUGAGAUUUCCUGCACUGCAUGCUUAUUGAUUUGAGAGUGUAGAGUUAUUUGCAUUAUUUACUACACCUUUUUAUGCUGUUGGUUAAUGAUUUGUACAUCAGUGCAUGUGUGGUGUGUGCUUUAAGGCUGUGAGUCUGUGGCCCUGUGACUUUCCCCUUUCUUCCUGCAGGCUUGGUGAAUCCUAUAUUGUAAGAAUGGUGGGUUAUGAUUUUAAUAUUUGGCCUACAGCUUUCUUAAAAUUGUGAUUCCAGUUUUAAAAAAAAAAGCACAAUAAAGUUGAUUGCCUAUCUAGAGAUUUUAUACUGCUUGUUAAUAAAAGUGUUGAACUUGAAGGUCACGUCUCUGUUCCCUUUUUUAUUCACUGGCAAUGGAACUUGCUGUGUUAACUUAUUUCCAUGGGUACAAACCCCAGUGGCAUAGUCGGAAUCUAGAGUGACUUUUGGGUAUCACUUGGUUACAAUAAGCUUGAAUGACUUCAUGUGACUUCAUCCCCCCCCCCCCAAAUUUAUUUUUCUUUAUUUAAAAAAAAUAAUAAUGUGUAAUUUUUUUUGUUAGUUUGUUGUUGUAAAUGUCCCAAUUGGGAUAGAGAGUGUGCAAUUUUCAAAGAGUUUAAUUAAAUGUUCCAUGUUAUAUAUUUUGGCUGCAUUUGUGAGUUAUUAAAAAUGUAACUGCUUCAGUAAACUAGGCACAUAAUAUCAAAAUAUCGAUAAAUUAAUUUAAUUAAUAAAUCAAAUCGAAUCGUAAUCGUAUCACAGAAAUUUUUGAGGUAUCGGCAAAUAUCGUAUCGCUGGCGGAGAAAAUGGAUAUCAUAUCGUAUCGUGAUGAACUAUCCGAUUUACACCUCUAUUUGAAAGCGACAAGCUAAGAGAAGCGGCUAAUACGUGCACGUUUAAAGUAAAAUUCUGACAAGUAAAUAGGAAAGGCCUAAUAUAAUUAAUAAUAAAAUAAUUGUUCAAUAAAUAGGCUAUAUAAAACUUAGCAUGGAGCUGUUUUGGAUUAAAAACAAUCGGAACACUGAGAUAUUACGCUUUUAGCCACAACUAAAAGAUUAUUCUUUGGAAUUGGUUAGAUUAAGAUAACAUAGUAAA